GUUUUCAAUUUUAUUUAUUUUUAACAUUUAUGUGACCAUUUGAGCAUAAUAACCAACAAACUAUAAUACACAGUAAUUUACAUACAAACGUACAUACCACGAAUUAGAGAACGCAAACUUAACAGUUCAGCAUAACUUAAACUUAAAAGAUUUCAUGUGGUCCCUGAUCUUCCAGACACAAGACUUUAUUAUGCGCCGACAUUGUUUUUUCAGACAUGCCUAGGCUACAAUAUUAAGGAACAAUUUUGCCUGACAAGUCUGAAUUUUUUUCUGAAUUUAUAUCUUAUUAUUGUGUUAAUGAGGCAUGGAAAACUUCCACCAUAAAAUAGCAGAAAAAAAUCGGUCCAGAUUUUUAAUGAAGACAGCAUUUUAUUAGACAGGAGGAAUUUAUUCCCUCACGUAGCUUGAAAACGAGCUUGGUGACCUAUAACCUUUAGUAGGAAAAGGGCGAUAUGAUGAGCGUUAUGACGAGGUAUAAUUCAGCGUUUUGAUGAGGUAUAAGUCAGUCAUUUUUUGUUUAUACCCCAUACUACUUUAAUGUUUAUGGAAUCUGCAACUGAUACUGUAAAAUAUCAGCAGAAAAUUACAAAUUAAGCUCUUAAAGGAGCUCAAAAAGGCUUCAAAAUAUGUCGAGCAGCUAAUAUUUUACAAUACCAGUAAGAUGAAAGUCUGAAAAUCUUUUUUGUGGGGGAUUGUAUCUAGUGUAUGUCAUGAUAUAAACUAUAGUUUAUCUUUGCUUUACAUGCAAACAGGAAGUAAACUUGAUAAGAUUGUGUCAAUUAUUUUGACGUCGGAAAUAAAUCCGGGUUUUGGACAAGCAUAUUUAACGUCACAGUGCAAUUUGAUGUAGAGAUGAGCAGGAUGAUAUAGACACAGGAAAACCAACAAAAUCAAAGGUUUUACUAUUAAAUUAUAUAUACGUUGAUUUGUCUUUCGCAGAAUAUAACAUAGCAUGUACAAUAUCCAGUAUAAUUACAUACAUUCAGAGCUAUAUGCAACAAUGUAACAUUAUAUCAGAAUACUAAUUAUAUAAAAUAUAGCGGUAGUAAGAAUUUAAGUCAUCCAUUACUGUAAAAAAAACAACAGCAACAGUAAAUUUCCAUUACCACAAUGACAAAAAACUUUUAACUGUAGCAUAAUUUACAUGAUUGCCAAAUAAAUACUGGUCAUAAAAAGACAAUACAAUUCCGACAAUGACAACAGUUUUAUAUCCUUUAUAAAAGCUCUAUGUUAAUUGACUAAACCCAGAAUUAAUCCGCAGACAGUAAUCCUACGAUAUAAAUAUGUCACACAAUAUUUUUCAUAUAGGGAGGAUUAAUUUCCGUGGGCAAAUAAUUUUGAAAUAGGAUGAUUUGCUAUAGCUUUUAGACAAUUAAAUUACAUAUUUAUUUUUAUUUCAAGGCUUAUCUAAUGAGCAAGUGAAAACAAAGUUAAAUUUUCAAGGACGGUACUAUAGUUUACAGUUUUUCAGCAAGAUUUAAUUUGUGACAUUUUUUCUACAAGAAAUCAAUUAAUUUGAAAGUAAAUAUCGACUUUUGUCGUCAAGUAUACGAGCAUUUUAAUAUAUAAA
rnacentral:lncRNA from 1 species